CAGGUUGUGAGUUCCUUUCUAACCUGACUGCCUGAGGAACAACACACACCUUCCUUCAGUGCAUAGGAGCAAGGCAAUAGCCCUACAAGGCCCUAAAGAUGACCAGGAUUUUGUCUGUUUUUAAGGCUGUCAGAUCCUUGAAACAAGGGACUGGGGUUGCCAGUGCAGCAGCUCAUUCACAAUGGGGCUUUUCCAAAGCUGGACUUCGGUUCAUGAGUGUAAAGGUACC